GAGCCUCUCUACUCUUCCAUGAAGAAUUUGGAUGCUCCUGCCAGAGCUUUGUCAUCUCCAUUGAUGAUGAUGAUGAUGAUGAUGAUGAUGAUGAUGAUGAUGAUGAUGGUGAUGGUGAUGGCGAUGGUGAUUGUGAUGUGAACAAAUCAGUCACAAAAUGAAUUCAAUCCAUACCUUCUAAUUUUUCUUUUGUUGCUUGAAAUUGCACCGAUUUCCUGUUUUUUUUUUUCAGCCAUCUUUUUUGAAUUCCUAACAUGUUAUGUAUGUACUGACCAAAUACACAGAAAUUUAAAUUAAAUCUGAUAUUCAACAUCCAACUCCAAAAAAAAGAAAAAGAAAAAAAAGAAAAAAAGAAAGAAAAAGAAAAGACAAAGAAAAAAGAAAAAAAAGGAGACGCCUUGCUGGAGAGAUACAAG
rnacentral:sRNA from 1 species